UACAUCGUCGUCGCUUUCCUUCGACAAAUGCGAAGAGAAGACAAAGAUUUGGAAUUCAACCGCUGGCCAAUUCGAAGCCCCAUUUGUUCUGUACUAGAUGCCCUUAGUUCUGGAAGAUGAUGGACUGAAGUAGGUGCAGUGGCAUUGAUAUCACAUCACACACAGGGUUCUUUUUCAACACAUUCACUGAGUUGUAGUGCGUCAAGUAGAAGGGCAAUUGUGAGGUCCUUGAUUGUUCAGUUGCUGUAUAAAACACUUGUUUGUGCCCCUGAAGCAUCAUUUUGAAUUUAGGUAAGACUUCAAAACGAAUGUGUUCGAAAGGAAUAUGACCAUUUUUACCAUAGUUGUUAUUGGCUUUAAAAAAUAACAGAGGUAGUUUUUUAAGAUAAAGGAAUACAUGCUAUGGAUUGUUAA